rnacentral:rRNA from 1 species
AUACGUAGGGUGCGAGCGUUGUCCGGAAUUACUGGCGUAAAGAGCUCGUAGGUGGUUUGUCGCGUCGUCUGUGAAAUUCCGGGGCUUAACUCCGGGCGUGCAGGCGAUACGGGCAUAACUUGAGUACUGUAGGGGAGACUGGAAUUCCUGGUGUAGCGGUGAAAUGCGCAGAUAUCAGGAGGAACACCGGUGGCGAAGGCGGGUCUCUGGGCAGUAACUGACGCUGAGGAGCGAAAGCAUGGGUAGCGAACAGGAUUAGAUACCCUGGUAGUCCAUGCCGUAAACGGUGGGCGCUAGGUGUAGGGGUCUUCCACGACUUCUGUGCCGUAGCUAACGCAUUAAGCGCCCCGCCUGGGGAGUACGGCCGCAAGGCUAAAACUCAAAUGAAUUGACGGGG